AGAAUGAUGACAUGAGUAGCGACAAAGGGAGUGAGAGACUCCCUCGCCGAAAGUCCAAGGGUUCCUGCUUAAAGCUAAUCUGAGCAGGGUAAGCCGACCCCUAAGGCGAGGCCGAAAGGCGUAGUCGAUGGGAACCAGGUUAAUAUUCCUGGGCCAGAUGGAAGUGACGGAUCUCGAAGGUAGU
rnacentral:rRNA from 15 species